UAUAUGAUAGGCCACUCGUCUUCAUUUAUCCAUUUCUAAUAGGCCAUAGCUCUAGGCCCACGCGGUAUGGGUUUUCAAAAUUACCGGGCGUGGCUCGAACUCUUCUUUCAAAAAUGACUUGCCAUGGCAGCAUAGCUGCAGCGCCUCAAAGAAGCUGCAAUUAUUAGCAAUGGCCCGUCUGAUCCGGCAAUGGCCGUUUCUACGUAACCAUUGCGUUUAAAUACCUCCUCUCUUAAUCUUUAAUUUUAUCCAUCAAAGCCAUCUCUCCUCUUCUCUCUCUCUCACUAUAGUUACAGCUUCUAAUCGUAACGCGCAUUUUCUAUCACGCGGUCCAGAAAAAACGUCUGAUUUUUGGACGAGGAGGAAAUGCAAGCGAUUCGGAUUCUGAAUCAUACAAAAGCCGCAAACAGAAAAAACGCGAGGCUCGACUUGCCAUUCGUUGGGGGCAUGGAGCUGGCUGCUUUUUCUCCACCUCAAAUCAAACGCAAUAUCAAGUGAUGAACGCAAAUUUACUUCCCUUCUUAUUUUUUCCCCCCAAAAUCACCAACGUUAAAGCUAUUCUUUGCAGUUUAAAUUGUGUCUUGCUUGGGAUUUUCUAGGGUGGCUUCACUUGAGAAAGACGUAUUCGAUGCGUAAUGUUAGUCAAGAGACCAGGACCGGAUGUGCGGCAAGGAAAGCGGAGGCAAUAUAAUUAUAUCGGUAAAGAUGGUGAUUGGAAUAGGCUGCAGGGAUUUUCUGGUUGGGAGGAAAAGAUUAUUGGCGAUGAAAAUGAAGAAUCUGGAGAAAGCGAAUACGAUGUGGAAGAGGAGGCAUGGGGUCACACGAGUACAUUGAUAUAGCAACCAGUUGGUUCGGUGGCCUGAUUAACAGAGACAUAAAAGUUAUCAAUGAAGUUUAUGCACUUCGAAGCAUUGAUUUUGACAGUCAGGUCAGUGAAAUGCCACCCUAAGUGUAUCAGUUACUGCAUAUCAGAGUCGUUCAUGAGAUAUCUCUAACAAUGGGCUAACGAUUCCUACUGCGAGUUUGUUGAUGAAAACAUGUUGUUUGGAAAGAAAAAAGGGGGUGAGAAUUCAUAUAAAGCCACCACAUGAACCAUCACUUGGCUUUCUUUCUUCUUUUUUUCCCAACUGAAGAAAUAAAGAACUAUCAACAGGAGACUUUAUUGCUUCCCGGACGAUUACUUGGCUCUUGUGAACCCAGCGUAUUUAACCCUACACAUUCUACGCAUGCUUAUAUCAUUAUAUAGUCCAAGAAGCAGAGACCGUGGUCUGUAUGUAUAAUUGGUUGCAAGUAUGCCUUCAAUGGUAAUGUUGAACUGUUUAUCAUCUAUCUUACCUAUGAUAGAAUGAUCUAUCAAGCAGGAACUGCAUAAACAUGUGCGAAGAAUGCAUGCAGUUCAAGAACGCAAGGGAGUUGCAGAAGGAAAUAAGCAGGAAGUGGAAACUGCAAUCACAGCUGCCAAAAAUUCCCUCGCCCGUUUCCUCCAUGGCCUUGAUGAGCAAAUGCCGAGUGAAUCUAAUCAUAUUGAUUUGUAAUAUAAAUAAUUUUUUAUCAUUGCAUAUUUUCUCCACAAAGCGUCAAAUACGUGUCUCAUUGAUCUCAGCAAUUUAUACUGGGCACAGCACUGACGAGCCACCUCAUAGAAUUAUAGACUAUGUAGCUUGGGCUUAGGCUCGUGGAUGUAAACACGGCUUGUAGAGCCAUAUCUUUUGCUUUUGAAGGCCAGACCCAUUACCAUUCCCUUUCC